rnacentral:rRNA from 1 species
AGCAGCCGCGGUAACACCAGCGCCACGAGUGGGAACCAUGAUUAUUUGGCCUAAAGCGUCCGUAGCUGGCGUGGUAAAUCUUUUGUGAAAUCGAGCAGCUCAACUGUUCGGCGUGCAGAAGACACUGCCUAGCUCGAGACCGGGAGGGGUAAGGAGUAUUCCGGGGGAACCGGUAAAAUGGGAUAAUCCUCGGAGGACUACCUGUGGCGAAGGCGCCUUACCAGAACGGAUCUGACAGUGAGGGACGAAGGCUAGGGGAGCGAACCGGAUUAGAUACCCGAGUAGUCCUAGCAGUAAACGCUGUGGGUUAGGUGUUGCACCAUCUACAAGAUUGUGCAGUAUCGAAGCGAAGGCGUUAAACCCACCGCCUGGGAAGUAUGGUCGCAAGACUGAAACUUAAAGGAAUUGGCGGGGGAGCACCACAAGGGGUGCGGCGUGCGGUUUAAUCUAACUCAACACAGAGAAUCUCACCAGAAGCGACGGCAGGAUGAAGAUCAGUCUAAAGGGCUUAUCUGACGAGCCGAGAGGUGGUGCAUGGCCGCCGUCAGCUCGUGCCGUAAGGUGUCCUGUUAAGUCAGGCAACGAGCAAGACCUGUGCGUACUAUUGCCAGCGACCUUUGGGAUCGGGCACAAUGUACGGACUGCCUUCGAAAGGAGGAGGAAGGUCCAGGCUACGGUAGGUCUGUAUGCCCCGAAUCUUCUGGGCUACACGCGCGCAACAAUGGUAUGGACAAUAGGAUGCCACUCCGACAGGAGAAGCUAAACCUUUAAACCAUAUCUUAGUACAGAUUGAGGACUGUAACUCGUCCUCAUGACGCUGGAAUCCCUAGUAAUUGGAGUUCAUCAUACUCCGGUGAAUAUGUCCCUGCUCCU